rnacentral:rRNA from 1 species
CUUUGAUGGAUGGCGACCGGCGCACGGGUGAGUAACACGUAUCCAACCUGCCGACAACACUGGGAUAGCCUUUCGAAAGAAAGAUUAAUACCGGAUGGCAUAGUUUUCCCGCAUGGGAUGAUUAUUAAAGAAUUUCGGUUGUCGAUGGGGAUGCGUUCCAUUAGGCAGUUGGCGGGGUAACGGCCCACCAAACCGACGAUGGAUAGGGGUUCUGAGAGGAAGGUCCCCCACAUUGGAACUGAGACACGGUCCAA